GCCUCUAUGGCUCAGGGGUAGAGCGUCGCACUUGUAUUCCUGAAGCUACAUGCGAAGGUCCGUCGUUCAAAUCGGCGUGGAGGCA